rnacentral:tRNA from 1 species
GGCUCCGUGGUUUAGUUGGUACAGCACCCGUCUAGCAUACAAAAGUCGUGGGUUCGAAUCCCACCUGAGCUG